GUGGGGAAUUGCUGGCUCUGUAUAUUAGAGCAGAUAAGGGAAAGUGUUUGUUCUUUGUAACUCCUCUGCAACUGCUUUGCUCACCGCGGCCUUGAAGAUAACAGAAAAAAAGUAUGUGCUUGUUCUCCCUGAGAUAACAGAGUGCUUGCUAAUUAUCUUUGACUGUUUUCUCAGAGAAUUUUUUUUUUGCAAUUAUAUCCUGUGUAACAGUCUGUUUUUAAAAGCUUAUAUAAACUGCAUGAUUCUGUUUUGGAGGCAGAGACCUCUCUGUAGUGCUGGUGAAUCUAUGUCCUCUAAGCUCUCCCCCACGGUACUGCAGAUCUGAAUAAAGCUUCUACUGACCUGACCCCAAAGUCUACACGUGUUUUUCCACGACAGUUCUUGGUGCCGUGACUCGGAUCCAGAACACGUGUUAAGGAAGGAGGACAGUGGACCGUUCUCCACCGAACCCCGGGCACCAAACUUAAGAGGUCUGUUCAUUCACAGGUCCAAGAAGCCUUAUCUCAACCACCAGAUGUUCCCUGUCACAACCUUGAACCAGGUGAUUGGGUCUACGUAAAGGUCCAUCAGCAGAAAAACGUGCUUCAACCCAAAUGGAAAGGACCAUUCCAGGUGCUCCUGACCACUAACACUGCUGUUCGUUGCCAAGGUCACCAGACGUGAACUCACGCCUCGCACUGUAAAAAAGUAUCACCUCCAUUGGACCCCGAAACAACUGAAUUCCAAACAAGAUUAAGACCUUUCCCUGAGGCCAAGGACAAAGACCCUCAGGACCUCACUCAGGCAAGUGAGGAGCAUCAGGGUGCAAGUGCUAGUAACCUUUCCCCUGAACCCAUCACUUCAGCCCGGCCAGAUUCACCAAUUGUGGAACGAAGAUAUCAUCUCCGAUCCCACUGAAUAAUAUCCAAACAUGAAGUUUUUUUUUCUAUCUUGAUUGUUAAUGCCGAACUUUUGAGCUUAGCCUGUGGAAAUGUAUUUUUGUCUUUAGUUAAUCAAAUUAGAAUAGAUUUAAAUGUCUCCAGUUGUUGGAUAUGUAGUCAUGUUCCUAUCCAUUCCACCGGAGGAAUACCCAUGAUACCUGUACCCUUGAAUACAACUCAGAUGCUGGCCCCUUAUUAUUCAGAUUUCCAUGGAAACGAGACUUGACAAGACAUGAACUGCAAUUGGUCUGACUAUAUACAACUAGCCUAUGCUACUCCUGGAAAGUUUUGUUGGACCUGUAAUGGAUCACGUGUGGCAGUAGGAGGUAGCAAAUGCAAAGUAGAUUUUAAAGUAAAUGGUACUUGGCUUUCUAACGGUUCCUGGAUAUCUAAUUACUCCCCCCAGAGUAAAUUUUCCGGGUACUAUUUACAAUGGAUAAUGAAACCUCAAUGUAGCACCACCUUCACUGCACUAGCUGGUCAUUAUUUUGUAUGUAGAACCAAGGCUUAUAAAAAUCUUCCUUCUGGGUAGGAAGGAACGUGCUAUGUUUCUGCCACAUACCCCACUUUCACAAUUAGAUCACAUUUGCCAAAAGGAAAAAUUUGCAAUGUUCGCAAAAUUACUGAAAACCAAAGAUUUGGGGGUAUAAUGUUCCCCAAUUAUGGGGCAGGCUUAGCUAUGUCUGAAAUACAAAAGGUUGCAGUAUCCUUAGAAAAAAUAGCCAAUGCCACUGCCAUUGGGUUCCGUGAAAAAGUAAAGAAAUGAAAGAAAUGAGACAAAUGACUUUGCAAAAUAGACUUGCUCUAGACUAUAUAAUAGCCAGUAAAGGAGGAGUAUGUGCCCUGAUAAAGUCUGAAUGCUGUGUAUAUAUACCUAUGCCUCUAGUGCCAUUGAAAAUGAAGCUAAGAUUAUUGAAAAAGAAGUUGUCAAACUUCACCAAAUUAAUCAGUGGGAUAUGGAAGGAAUGUGGUCUUGGUUAACCUCCUGGUUCCCAAAUUUAGGAACCCUUGGCAAGAAAAUCCUGUAUGGAAUAUUGUUUGUCUUGAUAGUUCUGACAAUGUUUUAUGUCUUAGUGCAACUGAUCCUCUGCUGCGUGAAAGCCAGCAGGAGAAGCUUUAGCAAGGCAAGAAAACACACGGCAGAGUCUAGAAUAAUGGUGUUACAAAAGUGUGAGCAGAUUGAAAGAAAACAUGAAAGUCUGCAUGAUGAAAUAGAGGGACUCAUGAGAAUGGAAGUUUAAGGCUAAAGUGAGACUAAAUAGUCUCAAAGGGGAGACUGUGGAAUCAGAAAAAAUAAAUGCCUUAAACUUUGAUCAUACGACUUAUAAGAUGAGCGUAACAGCUUUGUGGGGAAUUGCUGGCUCUGUUCUAUUAGAGCAGAUAAGGGAAAGUGUUUGUUCUUUGUAACUCCUCUGCAACUGCUUCGCUCACCGCGGCCUUGAAGAUAGCAGAAAAAAAGUACGUGCUUGUUCUCCCUGAGAUAACAGAGUGUUUACUAAUUACCUUUGACUGUUUUCUCAGGGAAUUUUUUAUUUUUGCAAUUAUGUCCUGUGUAACAGUCUGUUUUUAAAAGCUUAUAUAAACUGCACGAUUCUGUUUUGGAGGCGGAGACCUCUCUGUAGUGCUGGUGAAUCCAUGUACUCUAAGCUCUCCCCCACAGUACUGCGGAUCUGAAUAAAGCUUCUACUGACCUGA